AGCGAGCAUUCGGGGAGUCAGGGUGAGACUCAAAAAGGGAAGUCCGUUGGGAUACCGAUGAGGAGGUUCAACUUGAGUAAAACAGAAGACUAAAACCAUCACGUGAAGCUAUGGGACUAGAAUGGUGAAACUAAAAGAGGUACCGUCAAACAUUAUAGCCUUAUG
rnacentral:rRNA from 1 species